CUGCGAAUGGCUCAUUAUAUAAGUUAUCGUUUAUUUGAUAGUACCUUACUACUUGGAUAACCGUGGUAAUUCUAGAGCUAAUACAUGCUAAAAAUCCCGACUUCGGAAGGGAUGUAUUUAUUAGAUUAAAAACCAAUGCCCUCUGGGCUCCUUGGUGAUUCAUGAUAACUCUUCGAAUCGCACGGCCUUGCGCCGGCGAUGGUUCAUUCAAAUUUCUUCCCUAUCAACUUUCGAUGUUUGGGUAUUGGCCAAACAUGGUUGCAACGGGUAACGGAGGGUUAGGGCUCGACCCCGGAGAAGGAGCCUGAGAAACGGCUACUACAUCCAAGGAAGGCAGCAGGCGCGCAAAUUACCCAAUCCCGAUUCGGGGAGGUAGUGACAAUAAAUACUGAUACAGGGCUCUUUUGGGUCUUGUAAUUGGAAUGAGUACAAUUUAAAUCCCUUAACGAGGAACAAUUGGAGGGCAAGUCUGGUGCCAGCAGCCGCGGUAAUUCCAGCUCCAAUAGCGUAUAUUAAAGUUGUUGUGGUUAAAAAGCUCGUAGUUGAACCUUGGGCCUGGCUGGCCGGUCCGCCUCACCGCGUGCACUGGUCCGGCCGGGCCUUUCCCUCUGUGGAACCCCAUGCCCUUCACUGGGCGUGGCGGGGAAACAGGACGUUUACUUUGAAAAAAUUAGAGUGCUCCAGGCAGGCCUAUGCUCGAAUACAUUAGCAUGGAAUAAUGAAAUAGGACGCGUGGUUCUAUUUUGUUGGUUUCUAGGACCGCCGUAAUGAUUAAUAGGGACAGUCGGGGGCAUCAGUAUUCAAUUGUCAGAGGUGAAAUUCUUGGAUUUAUUGAAGACUAACUACUGCGAAAGCAUUUGCCAAGGAUGUUUUCAUUAAUCAGGAACGAAAGUUAGGGGAUCGAAGACGAUCAGAUACCGUCGUAGUCUUAACCAUAAACUAUGCCGACUAGGGAUCGGACGAUGUUA
rnacentral:rRNA from 2 species